CCUACGGAGGCAGCAGUGGGGAAUAUUGGACAAUGGGCGAAAGCCUGAUCCAGCCAUGCCGCGUGUGUGAAGAAGGCCUUCGGGUUGUAAAGCACUUUCAGUGGGGAAGAAAGCCUUGGGGCUAAUACCCUCGAGGAAGGACAUCACCCACAGAAGAAGCACCGGCUAACUCCGUGCCAGCAGCCGCGGUAAUACGGAGGGUGCGAGCGUUAAUCGGAAUUACUGGGCGUAAAGCGCGCGUAGGCGGUCUGAUAAGCCGGUUGUGAAAGCCCCGGGCUCAACCUGGGAACGGCAUCCGGAACUGUCAGGCUAGAGUGCAGGAGAGGAAGGUAGAAUCCCCGGUGUAGCGGUGAAAUGCGUAGAGAUCGGGAGGAAUACCAGUGGCGAAGGCGGCCUUCUGGACUGACACUGACGCUGAGGUGCGAAAGCGUGGGUAGCAAACAGGAUUAGAUACCCCGGUAGUC
rnacentral:rRNA from 1 species